rnacentral:rRNA from 1 species
AGAGUUUGAUCCUGGCUCAGAACGAACGCUGGCGGCAGGCUUAACACAUGCAAGUCGAACGCUCGUAGCAAUACGGGAGUGGCAGACGGGUGAGUAACGCGUGGGAACAUACCCUCCGGUUCGGAAUAGCUCAGGGAAACUUGGAUUAAUACCGGAUACGGCUGAGAGGCGAAAGAUUUAUCGCCGGAGGAUUGGCCCGCGUUCGAUUAGCUUGUUGGUGAGGUAACGGCUCACCAAGGCGAUGAUCGAUAGCUGGUCUGAGAGGAUGAUCAGCCACAUUGGGACUGAGACACGGCCCAAACUCCUACGGGAGGCGGCAGUGGGGAAUAUUGGACAAUGGGCGCAAGCCUGAUCCAGCCAUGCCGCGUGAGUGAUGACGGCCUUAGGGUUGUAAAGCUCUUCGCUCGG